rnacentral:lncRNA from 1 species
AGAAGCUAGCUGAAGUUCGUGGAGGCCUGACACCUGACUUCUCAGCGCUUCUUCCGGAAGCCUUCACUGCCCCCAGGGAGAAAAACUGGGCGAGUGGGUGGCUCCUGUAGGGGAAAGGCCCUGGAACACCAUGUUAGUUCCUUCUUGGUAUGACCAGGAAAAUAGUGGAGAGAAGGAGGGAGAGGACAGGAGCGCCACAGACUUCUGUCUCCAAGAGGGGUUUUCCGCACCACUGCCUGCGACCCAGAUGCCCUGCUUAGAAGCACUAAACUUCACCGCCUCCUGCCAGCGCUCUGCGCUCCCCUCCCCCGCCGCUGUAGGCGAUCAGAGGUGCCUGGGCAAAGGUCCCUGGGAGUGUCCCAGGAAGAAUUUCUCCAGUCACUCACAAACUCAUAACUAACAUCUGUAGAUAUAUUAUCCCUUUCCAAAGGUAGGAAAUAAACAGAGCUUGAGAAGUGUGCCCGAUCAAGGUCUCAAGGCAGGUGAGGCAGGACUCCCUGACUACAAUUCUACUUCUUUAGCAUUUCCCUAAGUGUGCAGUGACCACUGGUGGAAUUUAUUUACUUAUUUAUUUAUUUUGAGACAGAGUCUUGCUCUGUUGACCAGGCUGGAGUGCAGUGACA